rnacentral:rRNA from 1 species
AAUUCGAUGCAACGCGAAGAACCUUACCUGGUCUUGACAUCCACAGAAAUUUGCAGAGAUGCGAAUGUGCCUUCGGGAACUGUGAGACAGGUGCUGCAUGGCUGUCGUCAGCUCGUGUUGUGAAAUGUUGGGUUAAGUCCCGCAACGAGCGCAACCCUUAUCCUUUGUUGCCAGCGAUUAGGUCGGGAACUCAAAGGAGACUGCCAGUGAUAAACUGGAGGAAGGUGGGGAUGACGUCAAGUCAUCAUGGCCCUUACGACCAGGGCUACACACGUGCUACAAUGGCGCAUACAAAGAGAAGCGACCUCGCGAGAGCAAGCGGACCUCAUAAAGUGCGUCGUAGUCCGGAUUGGAGUCUGCAACUCGACUCCAUGAAGUCGGAAUCGCUAGUAAUCGUGGAUCAGAAUGCCACGGUGAAUACGUUCCCGGGCCUUGUACACACCGCCCGUCACACCAUGGGAGUGGGUUGCAAAAGAAGUAGGUAGCUUAACCUUCGGGAGGGCGCUUACCACUUUGUGAUUCAUGACUGGGGUGAAGUCGUAACAAGGUAACCGUAGGGGAACCUGCGGUUGGA